rnacentral:rRNA from 1 species
UACGUAGGGGGCUAGCGUUGUCCGGAAUCAUUGGGCGUAAAGCGCGCGUAGGCGGCCUGGUAAGUCCGCUGUGAAAGUCAAAGGCUCAACCUUUGAAUGUCAGCGGAUACUGCUAGGCUAGAGUCCGGAAGAGGCGAGUGGAGUUCCUGGUGUAGCGGUGGAAUGCGCAGAUAUCAGGAGGAACACCAACGGCGAAGGCAGCUCGCUGGGACGGUACUGACGCUGAGGCGCGAAAGCGUGGGGAGCGAACAGG